AUUGAACGCUGGCGGAAUGCUUAACACAUGCAAGUCGAACGGUAACGAUGGUAGCUUGCUACCAGGCGACGAGUGGCGGACGGGUGAGUACAACUUAGGAAUCUGCCCAGUAGUGGGGGACAACUCGGGGAAACUCGAGCUAAUACCGCGUACGCCCUUCGGGGGAAAGCAGGGGAUCUUCGGACCUUGCGCUAUUGGAUGAGCCUAAGCCGGAUUAGCUUGUUGGUGGGGUAAAAGCCUACCAAGGCGACGAUCCGUAGCUGGUCUGAGAGGACGAUCAGCCACACUGGGACUGAGACACGGCCCAG
rnacentral:rRNA from 1 species